CCUACGGGUGGCAGCAGUGAGGAAUAUUGGUCAAUGGACGAGAGUCUGAACCAGCCAAGUAGCGUGAAGGAUGACUGCCCUAUGGGUUGUAAACUUCUUUUAUAUGGGAAUAAAACGUUCCACGUGUGGGAUUUUGUAUGUACCAUAUGAAUAAGGAUCGGCUAACUCCGUGCCAGCAGCCGCGGUAAUACGGAGGAUCCGAGCGUUAUCCGGAUUUAUUGGGUUUAAAGGGAGCGUAGGUGGUUUGUUAAGUCAGUUGUGAAAGUUUGCGGCUCAACCGUAAAAUUGCAGUUGAAACUGGCAGUCUUGAGUACAGUAGAGGUGGGCGGAAUGCGUGGUGUAGCGGUGAAAUGCUUAGAUAUCACGAAGAACUCCGAUUGCGAAGGCAGUUCACUGGACUGCAACUGACACUGAGGCUCGAAAGUGUGGGUAUCAAACAGGAUUAGAUACCCUUGUAGUC
rnacentral:rRNA from 1 species